CCUACGGGGGGCAGCAGUGGGGAAUAUUGCACAAUGGGGGAAACCCUGAUGCAGCGACGCCGCGUGAGUGAAGAAGUAUUUCGGUAUGUAAAGCUCUGUCAGCAGGGAAGAAAAUGACGGUACCUGACCAAGAAGCCCCGGCUAACUACGUGCCAGCAGCCGCGGUAAUACGUAGGGGGCAAGCGUUAUCCGGAUUUACUGGGUGUAAAGGGAGCGUAGACGGCAGGGCAAGUAUGGAGUGAAAGGGGGGGGCUCAACCCCCGGACUGCUCAGGAAACUGCCAGGCGGGAGUGAAGGAGAGGUAAGUGGAAUUCCUAGUGUAGCGGUGAAAUGCGUAGAUAUUAGGAGGAACACCAGUGGCGAAGGCGGGUUACUGGACUGUAACUGACGUUGAGGCUCGAAAGCGUGGGGAGCAAACAGGAUUAGAUACCCUAGUAGUC
rnacentral:rRNA from 1 species